UUUGACCGCCAUGCCACGCCAUAAUUAAUUGUGUACUUAGUACUAGUUGCUUGUUUUUUCUCGUUCUUUUUGGAAAAGGAAAUGGGAGGAGACUCUAGGCUCUCGGGGCGUUUGUGUCAAUUCGCAAAUACGUUUUCUCCCUUUUUUCUAUAACAGACAUUGAAAGGAGAGGCACGCAUUGCGCAGAGACCCUCUUUUUUCUUG
ensembl:ncRNA F31E8.13 ncRNA